UAAAAUGAGGUGUUUGAAAGCAUUGAGGCGUUUGAUAGUAAGAAUUUUUUACGAACCAAUGCUUUCAAACAAUGGCUGAUGAGCCCCAAGCCAUCAAAUGAUCUCUGCUUCAUUCUUAUUAACAUGUCCAGUACUUAGAUGGAGUAUAAAUAUAGUAUGAAGGUUGUGGCUGAAUAAAUCUGUGCCAAAUAAUUUUAGUGUUCUUUCUUUCUUGAGUAUGUGCAUAUAUGAAACUUCAAUCCAAAAUAUAGUUUUAGAGCUUUUCUUAUGCCUUCUCAAGCGCAAUUCCAGGCAAGUGAUUUCCUUGUUUCAAGUAAGAGUCAUGCAGUUAAGGAGGAAAGAGAGUUAGAUGAUCUGGUGUACUCUAAUGAUGUCUAUGUAGAUACAACAUCUUUACUUGAACAGGUAAUUGUCUGCUUUGUCAAAUACUGUUUAGGUAGAUAAAUAAACAUGAUUUCGUUUAGUAUAGAUAAUCCAUUCUACAGGAGAACAACCUGGGCCAUCAAAUCAAUCUGGUUUAAGAUUUAUUAGUGUCAUUAUCAGUAAAUCCAAAGCUCUUAGGUUUGAGCAGAUGUUGUUUCGUGCUACAAAAGGCAACAUGCUUUUCAAUCAGGCACCAACUGAUGAACAAAUCUUGGAUCUUGCAUUAACUGAAGUGGUCAUUCUCUUAUUUAUAUUAUUAUCUUUUGGUCUUUUCGGAUAAAUUUUCUUUCUACGUAUUUUCUUACUAUAGCUUAUAAUUUGAAAGCCUUGAAUAUAUUCUACUUCUUAAUAGUAUGCUUUCUUCACUAGAGUGCUAUGUUGGUGUACUUCUAUUGCUUUGAAGACUAUGGCCUGGAUUUCUGAAUUCAACUAAUUUUGCUUGUAUAUUGCAUGUGCAGGUUGAGAAAAUUGUUAUUGUAGUGUUCUUCUUGGAGGAGCAAGCAAAGACAAAAAUAUUGAAAAUUUGUGAAGCAUUUGGUGCAAUUUGCUAUUUCGUACCCGAAGAUAUAAUGAAACAAAGGCAACUAACUCAAUAAGUUUUGUGUAUGAUAGACUGAACAUGCUGAAUUUUGAUGUUACAAAAAAAUGUCUUGUCAGAGAGGGUUGGUGUCCAAGAAUUGCCAAAACUCAGAUUCAUGAAGCACUGCAAUGGGCUACAAUUGAUAGCAAUUCACAAGUGGGUAUAAUAUUUCACACAAUGGAUGUUGUGGAACCACCUCUAACAUACUUCAGAACCAACCACUUUACAAAUGCAUUUCAGGAAAUUGUUGAUGCAUAUGGAUUGGUUUGGUUUUGAAGAAGUUGUUUGAAGAUGGUAUCGUGAAGCGCGAGAAUUUGUUUAUUACCUCCAAACUCUAGUUUGAAUCAGUCUUUAUUACCUCCAAACUUUGGUUUGACUUUAUGACUUUAUGCUCUUCAUAAUGCUUGUCCUUUUGAUAUUUGCUGUAUAAUUAGUUUUGAUUACUUUGUCUUUCCUUCUUUCAUUUUUAUUUUUUGUAGCCAAUUUUUCUUGAAAAUUUAUACAAUUGAUGCU